CGCCAAAUCAUCAAAAUUCAACAAUAUCUUGAACCCUAAAAAAUUUCGAGAGCGAAGCGAAACGAAACCUCAAGCAAAGGUAAAGGAAUGAGAUCACCACGACAAGAAUCUAAAUUCUCCCCUAAAUCGGAGGAGAGGACGCUCACUCCCAGCCGACGAUCGUUCGAAGCUUUGUCCUUUCGUCGGAGAGCAGCUCCGACCUUCGCAGAAAGACGAGAUCGCCAAGAGAGCAAAAGGAGAGCCGAGAGGAGAGCGCGCGAGAGAGAAGACAGGAGUUAUGAGGUGCGAAACAGGGUGGUCUCGGCUUAUAUAGACGCCACCGACCCAGCCUUGUGUCAUAUCGUGAAAUCGUGCCGUUAUAUUCAACCGACCAAUGUGUACUGACGUUGAAACGUCCCGCUAUGUUUAACUAAUAAGGUAACGGCAUUGAAAUCGCACCGUUAUAUACACCUAAUCACCGUCAAAUUUCUGUUGCGUUAUAAUUUCCUCUGGAAUUCUGCCGUCGAAGAGGUAGCAACAAUUGCUUGUAAUUGACCGUUUCACUUCAACGAUAAAAUACGUUAGAGAACAGACUCAGACGGAAGUAGAAAUGAAAACAGAUCAUAU
rnacentral:lncRNA from 1 species